UACAGAGGUCUCAAGCGUUGUUCGGAUUCAUUGGGCGUAAAGGGUGCGUAGGCGGCCAGGCAAGUCAGGUGUGAAAUCCCGGAGCUCAACUCCGGAACUGCACUUGAUACUGCCCUGCUAGAGUACUGGAGAGGAGACUGGAAUUUACGGUGUAGCAGUGAAAUGCGUAGAUAUCGUAAGGAAGACCAGUGGCGAAGGCGAGUCUCUGGACAGUUACUGACGCUGAGGCACGAAGGCCAGGGGAGCAAACGGG
rnacentral:rRNA from 1 species